rnacentral:rRNA from 1 species
UACGUAGGGGGCAAGCGUUGUCCGGAAUCAUUGGGCGUAAAGCGCGCGUAGGCGGCCCGGUAAGUCCGUUGUGAAAGUCAAAGGCUCAACCUUUGAACGCCGAUGGAUACUGCCGGGCUAGAGUCCGGAAGAGGCGAGUGGAAUUCCUGGUGUAGCGGUGGAAUGCGCAGAUAUCAGGAGGAACACCAAUAGCGAAGGCAGCUCGGUGGGACGGUACUGACGCUGAGGCGCGAAAGCGUGGGGAGAGAACAGG